rnacentral:siRNA from 1 species
AGCCAGAGGCGAGGAUGAAGGCAA